CAGUUUUUGGGAGAUCUUGAGACUGUAAACGUAGGCCUUCCUUCCGUCACACCUGAAUGCUUUGCUUCCUUUAAAAAAAAAUUGUUUUUGGGGGGGUGGGGAACGCACAAGCAGAGAAGGGGACCGAGAAAGGGGGACUGGGGAUCUGCAGCGGGCUCUGCGCUGACGGGCUGACAGCAGUGAGCCCGAUGUGGGGCUCGAACUCACGAACCUCGAGAGCAUGACCCGAGCCAAGGUCAGACGUUCACGCAACUGAGCCACCCAGGUGCCCCCUGAAUGUUUUUCUGUUCCGUGUGGAUGGAAGACAGCAUCUCGGACAACAUCCCUGUUUCUCAAGAGGGUCAACACCAUCACGGAUGUGAGAGCAUCGUGCAACGAAGUGUUAUGCCAAUGACCAUGAGGAUGACCAGUGUUGUUCCUUCUCCCAGUUUCAGAGAGGGGCACCCCCCCCCCUUUUGUUCCUUUUUGUGAUUCUGUGUCCUCCUGGCUGCUUUUCACGUCCUUUUCCAAAGCCUUCCCCCUUCCCACCCAGGAAUGCCACAGGGUGCUUCAUCAUUUCCAGUGACAGCCAAAUAAUUGAAUUGUUAUUGGUUUGGAAGGGGGAGAAAUGUUUGCUAAAUUGUUCCUCUUUGGAUAAUG